AAACCAACAGGGAUUGCCCUAGUAACGGCGAGUGAAGCGGCAACAGCUCAAAUUUGAAAUCUGGCCCUCGGGUCCGAGUUGUAAUUUGUAGAGGAUGCUUUUGGCGCGGUGCCUUCCGAGUUCCCUGGAACGGGACGCCUUAGAGGGUGAGAGCCCCGUACGGUUGGACACCAAGCCUCUGUAAAGCUCCUUCGACGAGUCGAGUAGCUUGGGAAUGCUGCUCUAAAUGGGAGGUAAAUUUCUUCUAAAGCUAAAUAUUGGCCAGAGACCGAUAGCGCACAAGUAGAGUGAUCGAAAGAUGAAAAGCACUUUGAAAAGAGGGUUAAACAGCACGUGAAAUUGUUGAAAGGGAAGCGUUUGCGACCAGACCUUUUCCUAGCGGAUCAUCCGGUGUUCUCACCGGUGCACUUCGCUAGGUCUAGGCCAGCAUCGGUUUCUGUAGGGGGAUAAAAGCUCUGGGAACGUAGCUCCUCCGGGAGUGUUAUAGCCCUCUGCAUAAUACCCUUACGGGGACCGAGGACCGCGCUUCGGCAAGGAUGCUGGCGUAAUGGUCGUCAACGAC
rnacentral:rRNA from 3 species